UACGAGGGGGGCAAGCGUUGUUCGGAAUUAUUGGGCGUAAAGGGCGCGUAGGCGGUGCGGUAAGUCACCUGUGAAAACUCUGGGCUCAACUCAGAGCCUGCAGGCGAAACUGCCGUGCUGGAGUGUGGGAGAGGUGCGUGGAAUUCCCGGUGUAGAGGUGAAAUUCGUUGAUAUCAUCAGGAAUACCGGAGGCGAAGGCGGCUCACUGGGGGUUUUCUGACGCUGAGGAACGAAAGCCAGGGGAGCGAACGGG
rnacentral:rRNA from 1 species